GUAUUUAUGGUUGUAUGGGUC
rnacentral:siRNA from 1 species